rnacentral:rRNA from 1 species
GGAAAGGCCCUGCUUUUGUGGGGUGCUCGAGUGGCGAACGGGUGAGUAACACGUGAGUAACCUGCCCUUGACUUUGGGAUAACUUCAGGAAACUGGGGCUAAUACCGGAUAGGAGCUCCUGCUGCAUGGUGGGGGUUGGAAAGUUUCGGCGGUUGGGGAUGGACUCGCGGCUUAUCAGCUUGUUGGUGGGGUAGUGGCUUACCAAGGCUUUGACGGGUAGCCGGCCUGAGAGGGUGACCGGCCACAUUGGGACUGAGAUACGGCCCAGACUCCUACGGGAGGCAGCAGUGGGGAAUAUUGCACAAUGGGCGGAAGCCUGAUGCAGCAACGCCGCGUGCGGGAUGACGGCCUUCGGGUUGUAAACCGCUUUCGCCUGUGACGAAGCGUGAGUGACGGUAAUGGGUAAAGAAGCACCGGCUAACUACGUGCCAGCAGCCGCGGUGAUACGUAGGGUGCGAGCGUUGUCCGGAUUUAU